AUCAACUAAGCAUCUACAAUGUACUAGGGACUGAGGGAAUAAAGAAAAAAAAAGGAAACAAAAAAGUCCUUGACCUUAAGGAACUUAUUCUGCUAGGAGAAAGAAUUUAAAAUAUAGGCUUCUAAGUCUUAAUUAUAAGCUUAGCAACAUCAUCCUUCUGUGCAUGAUAUCUAUUGGCUUCAGAUACUCUAUAUUUAACUAGUAUGGCUUUGACCACUGAAGUGGUAGAGAUAACUCCUAAUAAUGUUUCAGGGAAAAAAACUUCGGUGUGAUGAAAAUGAUCAGAAAUAUAUUUAGUCAGUUAAAAAGUACAUGUGAAAUUAGGAUGCAAAACAGAUCGGCAUUUCAAACCUUCUCCAGACCCAGUGAUGAAAGGAUUCUGCUUCUUAUCACAUUUUAACUUGUAUGUCUGAUCUGGCAAAAUAUAAAGCACAAAAAAGGUUAAAUUACCUGAUGGUUUUGUUCUACUCCUCGCCCUCCAUGCAAAUGUAGCUGUCCUAGACCAACCUGAAAUACUUAAAUAAGAACCUCAACAACACUAACAGACUAAGUUGUGGCGCAAAACUGUUUUAACUGACUACAGCACUACUGUCAACAAACAGAAAAACUUAAC